rnacentral:rRNA from 1 species
UAGGGAAUCUUCCGCAAUGGGCGAAAGCCUGACGGAGCAACGCCGCGUGAGUGAUGAAGGUCUUCGGAUCGUAAAACUCUGUUAUUAGGGAAGAACAAAUGUGUAAGUAACUAUGCACGUCUUGACGGUACCUAAUCAGAAAGCCACGGCUAACUACGUGCCAGCAGCCGCGGUAAUACGUAGGUGGCAAGCGUUAUCCGGAAUUAUUGGGCGUAAAGCGCGCGUAGGCGGUUUUUUAAGUCUGAUGUGAAAGCCCACGGCUCAACCGUGGAGGGUCAUUGGAAACUGGAAAACUUGAGUGCAGAAGAGGAAAGUGGAAUUCCAUGUGUAGCGGUGAAAUGCGGAGAGAUAUGGAGGAAAACCAGUGGCGAAGGCGACUUUCUGGUCUGUAACUGACGCUGAUGUGCGAAAGCGUGGGGAUCAAACAGG